AGCGGCGAACGGGUGAGUAAUGCAUCGGAACGUGUCCCGGAGUGGGGGAUAACCCGGCGAAAGCCGGACUAAUACCGCAUAUGCUCUGAGGAGGAAAGUGGGGGACCUGAGAGGGCCUCAUGCUUUGGGAGCGGCCGAUGUCCGAUUAGCUAGUUGGUGGGGUAAAGGCUUACCAAGGCGACGAUCGGUAGCUGGUCUGAGAGGAUGAUCAGCCACACUGGGACUGAGACACGGCCCAGACUCCUACGGGAGGCAGCAGUGGGGAAUUUUGGACAAUGGGGGCAACCCUGAUCCAGCCAUGCCGCGUGCGGGAAGAAGGCCUUCGGGUUGUAAACCGCUUUUAGCUGGGAAGAAAAGACUCGGGCUAACACUCCGGGUUCUUGACGGUACCGGCGGAAUAAGCACCGGCUAACUACGUGCCAGCAGCCGCGGUAAUACGUAGGGUGCGAGCGUUAAUCGGAAUUACUGGGCGUAAAGCGUGCGCAGGCGGUUCGUUAAGUUUGUCGUGAAAGCCCCGGGCUCAACCUGGGAAUGGCGAUGAAAACUGGCGAGUUGGAGUGUGGCAGAGGGGGGUGGAAUUCCAGGUGUAGCAGUGAAAUGCGUAGAGAUCUGGAGGAACACCGAUGGCGAAGGCAGCCCCCUGGGCUGACACUGACGCUCAGGCACGAAAGCGUGGGGAGCAAACAGGAUUAGAUACCCU
rnacentral:rRNA from 1 species